CCUACGGGAGGCAGCAGUGAGGAAUAUUGGUCAAUGGACGAGAGUCUGAACCAGCCAAGUAGCGUGAAGGAUGACUGCCCUAUGGGUUGUAAACUUCUUUUAUAUGGGAAUAAAAUGUUCCACGUGUGGGAUUUUGUAUGUACCCUGUGAAUAAGGAUCGGCUAACUCCGUGCCAGCAGCCGCGGUAAUACGGAGGAUCCGAGCGUUAUCCGGGUUUAUUGGGGUUAAAGGGGGCGUAGGUGGAUGGUUUAGGCAGUUGGUAAAGUUUGCGGGCCAACCGUAAAAUGGCAGUUGAAACUGGCAGUCUUGAGUACAGUAGAGGUGGGCGGAAUGCGUGGUGUAGCGGUGAAAUGCUUAGAUAUCACGAAGAACUCCGAUUGCGAAGGCAGUUCACUGGAGUGCAACUGACACUGAGGCUCGAAAGUGUGGGGAUCAAACAGGAUUAGAUACCCUUGUAGUC
rnacentral:rRNA from 1 species